GACGAACGCUGGCGGCGUGCUUAACACAUGCAAGUCGAGCGGAAAGGCCCUUCGGGGUACUCGAGCGGCGAACGGGUGAGUAACACGUGAGUAACCUGCCCUAGGCUUUGGGAUAACCCCGGGAAACCGGGGCUAAUACCGGAUAUGACCUGGUGCCGCAUGGUGUUGGGUGGAAAGUUUUUUCGGCCUGGGAUGGGCUCGCGGCCUAUCAGCUUGUUGGUGGGGUGAUGGCCUACCAAGGCGAUGACGGGUAGCCGGCCUGAGAGGGCGACCGGCCACACUGGGACAGAGACACGGCCCAGACUCCUACGGGAGGCAGCAGUGGGGAAUAUUGCACAAUGGGCGGAAGCCUGAUGCAGCGACGCCGUGUGAGGGAUGAAGGCCUUCGGGUUGUAAACCUCUUUCAGCAGGGACGAAGCGUGAGUGACGGUACCUGCAGAAGAAGCGCCGGCCAACUACGUG
rnacentral:rRNA from 1 species